GUACACCAGGCGAGAUAGUCAACAUCUCCUAGCCACCGUGAUGAUGAUGAAGAGAGAGACACGCAAACUCCAAAUAUACAGCAGCAGGUGUCAGGGUCGGGUCGAACCCACGACCUCCUGUACACCAGGCGAGAUAGUCAACAUCUCCUAGCCACCGUGAUGAUGAUGAGAGAGAGAGACACGCAAACUCCAAAUAUACAGCAGCAGGUGUCAGGGUCGGGUCGAACCCACGACCUCCUGUACACCAGGCGAGAUAGUCAACAUCUCCUAGCCACCGUGAUGAUGAUGAGAGAGAGAGACACGCAAACUCCAAAUCUACAGCAGCAGGUGUCAGGGUCGGGUCGAACCCACGACCUCCUGUACACCAGGCGAGAUAGUCAACAUCUCCUAGCCACCGUGAUGAUGAUGAUGAGAGAGAGAGACACGCAAACUCCAAAUAUACAGCAGCAGGUGUCAGGGUCGGGUCGAACCCACGACCUCCUGUACACCAGGCGAGAUAGUCAACAUCUCCUAGCCACCGUGAUGAUGAUGAUGAGAGAGAGAGACACGAAAACUCCAAAUAUACAGCAGCAGGUGUCAGGGUCGGGUCGAACCCACGACCUCCUGUACACCAGGCGAGAUAGUCAACAUCUCCUAGCCACCGUGAUGAUGAUGAGAGAGAGAGACACGCAAACUCCAAAUAUACAGCAGCAGGCGUCAGGGUCGGGUCGAACCCACGACUUCCUGUAUACCAGGCGAGGUAGUUAACAUCUCGACGAGCGAGGAACGCCACUGACUACCUGCCAGUGCCGUGAAGCCACGACUCGUGACGUCCGGUUCCGAGUAAUGUUGACAGGCACCAUGGUUUCGAUUUAAAGCUUUCGUGACUGCAGGGAUUCAUCUUCUUGGUUCUUUCGGUAAAGUCACGUAGAAGAGAAAUAAUAAAAUAAUAAAAAUAAAACGAAAUCAAAUAAUUUCAUGAUCAAAAAUUUACGUGACUUUACCGAAAGAACCAAGAAGAGGCACCGCGGUGGCUAGGAGAUGUUAACUACCUCGCCUGAUGUACAUGAGGUCGUGGGUUUAAUCCCGAUCGCUGACGCCUGCUGCUGUAUAAUUGGAGUUUGCGGUUUCUCUCUCUCCGCGUGGUCGUCAAAAUUUUUUUCCGGGUCCUCCGGUUUUUCCAUUCACGGUUUAUCCACGUGCGCUUUAGAGUCAUGCGGCUGCUCCAAAUGUCUCCACGCGAUGACGAUGAGCCACUUCGUUGAGCUAUCAUUUGCGACGGCCAGGUGGUAGCUCUUGCAAAAGAACUACACGGCUCAGUGGGACCUUACACCGGGCAAAAUAUAAAAAAAAAGAGUAGAAGCAUCUUGAAAUCGAGACCCGUUUUACCUUCUCCAUCGGCGCCGACGCCAUCGAUAUAUUCUCGCGUUCCGUUCGUCCGUGGGCUGGCCGCUGCGCUGGAUGCUCUGUCGCGUGAUGCCCUAUCGAUGAUGAUGAUGAUGACGAUGGUGACGACGACGAUGACGACGACGACGACGAUGACGACGACGACGAUGACAACAAUGACGAUGACAACGAUGAUGACGACGAUGACAAUGACAACAAUGACGAUGAUGACGACAACAAUGACGAUGACAACGAUGAUGACGACGAUGACAAUGACAACAAUGACGAUGAUGA